rnacentral:rRNA from 1 species
UACGUAGGGUGCGAGCGUUAAUCGGAAUUACUGGGCGUAAAGCGUGCGCAGGCGGUUUUGUAAGACAGGCGUGAAAUCCCCGGGCUUAACCUGGGAAUUGCGCUUGUGACUGCAAGGCUAGAGUGCGUCAGAGGGGGGUAGAAUUCCACGUGUAGCAGUGAAAUGCGUAGAGAUGUGGAGGAAUACCGAUGGCGAAGGCAGCCCCCUGGGACGUGACUGACGCUCAUGCACGAAAGCGUGGGGGAGCAAACAGGAUUAGAUACCCUGGUAGUCCACGCCCUAAACGAUGUCAACUAGUUGUUGGGGAUUCAUUUUCUCAGUAACGUAGCUAACGCGUGAAGUUGACCGCCUGGGGAGUACGGUCGCAAGAUUAAAACUCAA